UCAACCAUCAAGCCUGGCUUGUCGUUGGACCCCUUUGCAACUGAAAUAUGUGGCAGGUCCGAAAGAUAAUGACGGCGUCGUGUUUGACCCAAGAUGCAACGAGCUUUUUUAUAGCACGCAUUGAAGUGGUCGGCCGACCCGGUCUUUAACCAUCAUUUUCUAA
rnacentral:misc_RNA from 1 species